UAAUAACCUGCUCGAAGAAUUUUCUUUGACAAAACAUGACCGUUCAUGUGUGACCCGCAUACUCCAGAGUGUAUUUCAACCAUGAUUGCCGAGGCUUCUCUUGCAUCUACACACCUCAAAAGUCCCAGAUCUGGGGUUCUCUUAUACAAGAUUCCCCCACUUAAGAAAAAUCCACUAGCCAAACGCCUAAUAGUCCUCUUUUGAUCGUUGGUGGCAUAUGCUGGGUAUUCUCCUGACUGAAUGUACCGCUUGAUAUCCAAGAACCAAGGUUCUCCAUCGAGCUCUUCUUCAACCGCAUUACAGUAAGCAUGCUAAUCACGAC
rnacentral:lncRNA from 1 species